CCCUUAGAUGUUCUGGGCAGCACGCGCGCUACAAUGGUCUUCGCAAACGGAUGCAUUCUCGAAGGAGAAUGCCAAUCUUGGAAUCUAUGCCUUGGUCGGGACAGUUGCUUGCAAUUUUUCGACUCGAACCAGGAAUUCCUUGUAAUCGUGAUUCAUCACAUCACGAUGAAUACGUCCCUGCCCUUUGUACACACCGCCCGUCGCUCCUACCGAUCGAAGAGUUAGGUGAAUUGUUUUGAUCGAUAAGAUUUGACUAUGGUCAACUUUCGUUGUGAAAUUCUGUGAAUCUGACUGUUUAGAGGAAGGAAAAGUCGUAACA
rnacentral:rRNA from 1 species